AUUGAACGCUGGCGGCAGGCCUAACACAUGCAAGUCGAGCGGGGUUUUCGGACCUAGCGGCGGACGGGUGAGUAAUGCGUAGGAAGCUACCCGAUAGAGGGGGAUACCAGUUGGAAACGACUGUUAAUACCGCAUAAUGUCUACGGACCAAAGUGUGGGACCUUCGGGCCACAUGCUAUCGGAUGCGCCUACGUGGGAUUAGCUAGUUGGUGGGUAAUGGCUCACCAAGGCGACGAUCCCUAGCUGGUUUGAGAGGAUGAUCAGCCACACUGGAACUGAGACACGGUCCAGACUCCUACGGAGGCAGCAGUGGGGAAUAUUGGACAAUGGCGCAAGCCUGAUCCAGCCAUGCCGCGUGUGUGAAGAAGGCCUCGGUUG
rnacentral:rRNA from 1 species